rnacentral:rRNA from 1 species
UAGUAACGGCGAGUGAAGAGGGAAAAGCUCAAAUUUUGAAUCUGACGUCUUCGGCGUUCGAGUUGUAAUCUAGAGAAGUGUUUUCCGUGUCGGACCGUGCACAAGUUCCCUGGAACGGGGCGUCAUAGAGGGUGAGAAUCCCGUACGUGGCACGGACUCCCGGUGCUCUGCGAUACACUCUCAACGAGUCGAGUUGUUUGGGAAUGCAGCUCAAAAUGGGUGGUAAAUUCCAUCUAAAGCUAAAUAUUGGCGAGAGACCGAUAGCGAACAAGUACCGUGAGGGAAAGAUGAAAAGCACUUUGGAAAGAGAGUGAAACAGUACGUGAAAUUGUUGAAAGGGAAGCGUUUGAAGUCAGUCGCGUCUGUCGAGGUUCAGCCUGGCUUCUGCCUGGUGUAUUCCCUGUCCGACGGGUCAGCAUCAGUUUCGACCGAGAGAAAAAGGCUUGGGGAAUGUGGCCGUCUUCGGGCGGUGUUAUAGCCCUUUGUCGUAUGUCUCGGUUGGGACUGAGGACUGCAGCGCGCCUUACGGCCGGGGUUCGCGCCCUCGGUACGCGCUUAGGA